rnacentral:rRNA from 1 species
UACGAGAGGUCCAAACGUUAUUCGGAAUCACUGGGCUUACAGAGUUCGUAGGCGGUCCAGAAAGUGGGGUGUGAAAGCCCUCGGCUUAACCGAGGAACUGCGCUCCAAACUACUGGGCUAGAGGAAGAUAGAGGUGAGCAGAACUGAUGGUGGAGCGGUGAAAUGCGUAGAUAUCAGGAGGAAUACCGAUGGCGAAGGCAGGUCUCUGGGCUGACACUGACGCUCAUGCACGAAAGCGUGGGGAGCAAACAGG